rnacentral:rRNA from 1 species
CCUGCCCAAGAGAUCGGGAUAACACCUGGAAACAGAUGCUAAUACCGGAUAACAACAGAUGAUGCCUAUCAACUGUUUAAAAGAUGGUUCUGCUAUCACUCUUGGAUAGACCUGCGGUGCAUUAGCUAGUUGGUAGGGUAACGGCCUACCAAGGCGAUGAUGCAUAGCCGAGUUGAGAGACUGAUCGGCCACAUUGGGACUGAGACACGGCCCAAACUCCUACGGGAGGCAGCAGCA